GUCACAUCUCCCCCAUGCCAGGCUGGUUUCGGGCCCUGACCUUUCUUGGAAGCCUCUUGUCCUCCGCAUCCUCCAGUGGUGCAUCUGGGGACACAACGCAGGGACUACAAUUGCUGGAUCAUACGGCAAGUCUCUAUUUACCUUAUUGAGGAACUACUAGAACGUUCUCCACAGCAGCUAUUCCAUUGGACAUCCCCACUGGCGAGCAUAAUACUUUUACGACAGUGUCUUCUCAAAAUAUUCUGGAUGAAGUUACCGAAAUUCCCUGCUUCAGGCCUCAUCCAAAUACACCUCUUGUUGAUCAGAACAAAUUGACAACUUUCCCCCAAGAAACCGCUCUGCUAAUUUUCCCCUGCUCUUCCUGGCCUUGGGCUUUGGGAUGGAGAAGCAAGCAAGAGCGGGCGAAGACAGAGCUUGGGCCUCACGAGGCCACAUUGGCAGGAAAUUAAAUGGUGCUGUCACCUUCUUCUUAUUGCGGGUCACGUGUCCGUUGUUGCCAGAAGGCGGCAUUUUGCCUUUAGCUGGGUCUGCACUGCAUCCUGGCAGAGUGACACCCAAAACUGCAACUACUAGCUGCUCAUUAAAGAACACUCCGCAAAGAGUCUGGGUUGUACUUGUAACUGCGUCGCUAAAUUAUCUUGGGCGCACUGCUGUCACACUAUGGAAUUCUGCCACACUAUCUGUAGAAUGAGGCUUCCAGACUGGACUCCCUUCCAGCUCGAACGCGGUCUCACGGGUUGUAGGCCGCCCUAUCCAAAUCUUGCCUUCGUUUCCCCGAAGCCAGCAUCUGUCAGAACUUUUCAACGGCUCUGAGUUCAGACCUCUUCACAUUUUCUGGAGGCUUCUUGCUUUGUAAACAGUCUUUUCAAGAUCCCAGGAAUAA